GACGAACGCUGGCGGCGUGCUUAACACAUGCAAGUCGAACGGAAAGGCCCUGCUUUUGUGGGGUGCUCGAGUGGCGAACGGGUGAGUAACACGUGAGUAACCUGCCCUUGACUUUGGGAUAACUUCAGGAAACUGGGGCUAAUACCGGAUAGGAGCUCCUGCUGCAUGGUGGGGGUUGGAAAGUUUGGGCGGUUGGGGAUGGAUUCGCGGCUUAUCAGCUUGUUGGUGGGGUAGUGGCUUACCAAGGCUUUGACGGGUAGCCGGCCUGAGAGGGUGACCGGCCACAUUGGGACUGAGAUACGGCCCAGACUCCUACGGGAGGCAGCAGUGGGGAAUAUUGCACAAUGGGCGGAAGCCUGAUGCAGCAACGCCGCGUGCGGGAUGACGGCCUUCGGGUUGUAAACCGCUUUCGCCUGUGACGAAGCGUGAGUGACGGUAAUGGGUAAAGAAGCACCGGCUAACUACGUG
rnacentral:rRNA from 1 species